UUCACUGGCGAUGAAUGUAAU
ensembl:piRNA 21ur-14413 ncRNA